CCUCAGAGCGGUUGAGUAGGCUGUUUGGUGGUUUCAACCAGAUGGAUUUAGGACUGCGCCGGACACCACAGAGCGUGCAGAGACACGGUACAAACAGCUCGGCGUCACUGUCUUGGUGCACAGUCAGUACACUAUGCUCAUCAUGUCUUAGCAGGAUGAGAUGGUGACAGGUGUCCCUGCGGGAUCAGACAGCCAGAGAAGACCAGUCUGAAUUGCAGUAUAUUGGGACAAUCAGUGAAUGGAUAUAACGUUCUAUCUUGAGUUGAUGGGUAGACUACAGUCUGGGAUCUGGGAAUAAUGGAUCAGAUAGUGACCGGGGUCUCAUCAGGGUCAGGCAGCCAGAGAAGACUAGUCUGUGGUGGAGCUGAGGUGAACUUUUGUAGAUGCAAUACUUUAUUAUCUCUAUGCAGCGAACACUGGACAAGCAAGAAGCUGCAUGCUAUUUUAAGAGUCUGACAAAUCUCACGUUGAUUUCCAAACUGUAUCAAGGGUUGAUAGAGGCUUUUCCUGAUGACACACAACAAGUAAAACAAAAAUGUGAGGAAGACCUGGGAGACGCUACUAUUGAUGAUAAUGAAUGGAUCUAAGAUAUGUUAGAAUGCCCAGUCAUGGAGACUGUUCUAAGAAUAAACUAUA